rnacentral:lncRNA from 1 species
ACAAUUGUUAUGUUGAACAAAAAUCCAUUUGGGAUUGGGAAAUUUAUGAAAACAGGCCAUGAAGUUCAAUGUACAAAACAUGUGUAUGUGAAUUUUGCCAAAAUGGACCAACUUCAAAUUGUUAUGUUGAACAAAAAUCCAUUUGGGAUUGGGAAAUUUAUGAAAACAGGCCAUGAAGUUCAAUGUACAAAACAUGUGUAUGUGAAUUUUGCCAAAAUGGACCAACUUCAAGC